GUUACUCAGGGCCGCGCGCGCAUGCGCGGGGGUGGGGCUUCGGUUGCCAGGAAGCGGCUUGGUCAGAGGCGGCGUCUGGCUGAGUUUACGCGGCAGCUGCGCCCGAGCCCGGAGGUCGGGGGCGGAGGGGACGGACGGUACCAUGAGUCAAGACGACAGAUUUGCUUUCAUUGCAGAAUGUAUGAUGUGAAGAACCAUCGCACCUUUCUGAAACGCACAAAAUAUGAUGACCUACACCUAGAAGAUUUGUUUGUAGGCAACAAAGUUACUGUCUUUUCACGUCACCUUUCCCUAGUAGACUAUGGGGAUCAAUACACAGCCCGCAAGUUGGGUAGCCGCAAAGAAAGAACACUGGCUUUGGUUAAACCUGAUGCAGUACCCAAGAUUGGCGAACUAGUUGAUAUCAUCAUUAAUGCUGGGUUUACAAUAACUAAAGCCAAAAUGAUGGUACUUUCACGGAAAGAAGCAAUGGAUCUCCAUGUAGACCAUCAAUCAAAGCCCUUUUACAAUGAGCUUCUCCACUUUAUUACAAGUGGUCCUGCUGUUGCCAUGGAGAUUUUAGGAGAUGAUGCUGUGUCUGAAUGGAAAAAGUUACUGGGACCUGCAAACUCUGGCGUGGCUCGUUGUGAUGCCCCGGGCAGCAUUAGAGCAAUGUUUGGAACAGAUGGCAUAAGAAAUGCAGCUCAUGGCCCUGACUCCUUUGCUUCUGCUGCUCGAGAGCUGGAGUUGUUCUUUCCCUCAAGUGGAGGUCGUGGUCCAGCCAAUAGUGCAAAAUUUACAAACUGUACUUGUUGCAUUAUUAAGCCUCAUGCUGUUAAUGAAGGGCUAACUGGAAAGAUCAUAAAAGCCAUCCUUGAUGGGGGUUUUGAAAUCUCGGCUUUGCAGUUGUUCAACAUGGAACGUGCGAAUGUGGAAGAAUUCUAUGAGAUUUACAAAGGUGUUGUUGCUGAAUACGCUGAGAUGGUUACAGAACUGUGCUCAGGGCCUUGUAUAGCACUAGAGAUCAGGCAGCUUGAUCCUCAAAAAGUAUUCAGAGACUUCUGUGGACCUUCUGAUCCUGAAAUAGCCCGUCACCUCCGACCUGGAACCCUGCGUGCCAUCUUUGGUAAAAACAAGAUUCAGAAUGCUGUCCACUGUACAGAUCUACCAGAGGAUGGACUUUUGGAGAUUCCUUGGAACUCUGGUAAGAAGGAAAGGGGUGUAACCUUGAUGUUCUGACCAAAGUUCACCAGGGAACUAAAUUCUCUCUGCAGUUUCAUCUGGAAAAGCUACUCCUCACUUCCUUGUUGGUUGCGCGUAUUGCUGUAAACUGUUAAAUAGCUGCUGGGUCACCCCAUAGGUGACUGCAUGUCCAGUACUUCUUCAAGAUUCUGGACAACUGACAGAACAUGGAACUAUCUCCAGUUCUAAAGGAAAAAGACAGACAAGGAGCGAUGAUGUAUUCAUUAAAUUUAUUGUCCAAUGUUUUAACCUGACUGAAAUACAAGAGCAAGAGCACUGUGCUCCUGGCUAUUUAUUACAUAUGUUAGAACAUGAGUUUUGCACUUUAGACAACAUUUAACACCAUCCUAUGGGGUACUGCAUUGCUUUUUAUAAAGUUCAAAAUAAAGAUUUAUUUUCAAACAA